GACGAACGCUGGCGGCGUGCUUAACACAUGCAAGUGGUGCGACGAACCAGGGCUUGCCCUGGGGCAAAGCCGCGAACGGGUGAGUAACACGUGAGUAACCUGCCCCGAUGACCGGGACAACCUGAGGAAACUCGGGCUAAUACCGGAUGUGGUACACGGACUUAAGCCUGUGUACUAAAGGAAGCUUCGGCCUCCGCAUUGGGAGGGGCUCGCGGCCCAUUAGCUUGUUGGUGGGGUAACGGCCUACCAAGGCAACGAUGGGUAGCUGGGCUGAGAGGACGAUCAGCCACACUGGGACUGGGACACGGCCCAGACUCCUACGGUAGGCAGCAGUGGGGAAUCUUGCGCAAUGCGCGAAAGCGUGACGCAGCAACGCCGCGUGAGGGAAGACGGCCUUCGGGUUGUAAACCUCUUUCAGGAGGGACGAAGGUUCGCCGGUGAAUAGCCGUGCGGAUUGACGGUACCUCCAGAAGAAGCUCCGGCUAACUACGUGCCAGCCGCCGCGGUAAUAC
rnacentral:rRNA from 1 species